rnacentral:lncRNA from 1 species
GGGACCGGGACGGGGGCAGAGCCACUGGUUGCCCCUCCCCUUGAAGUGACCAGGGACUGAAAUGUCCAGGUCUGGACUCCAACCCAGGGGUUUGUACCCACAAGGCUCAGGGACGCCCUGGGAAGGAAUCUCCCAACAGUGGAUGCUUCCCCUGCCUCACUGUAGGCCCAAAUGGAUCCAGCAGGGAGGCAGCCUGCCAUGGGCCCCUGCUCAGGGGACCCCCACCUGGGCGGGGCCUCCUGGCUCCUGGGACUCACCCUCCUCCUCCUCAGCGUCUGCAGCACUGGCACCCAGGGUUCUGCAGCCCAUGGUUCUGGAGUUGAGGAUUCUGGAAACCCCGUUUCCCUGAAGGGGAUGCAAGGAGCUUCUGUGUUGUUUCAAGUGCUCAGAAACCCAGACUUGCCUGCAGGAGUCGAGCUGGAGAACAUGACCUGGGGGAUCUCCUCCGGGGCAAACUACACAACCCUGCUGCAGGUCUCCCCUGGGGCACGCGAUCCAGAAUGGGUCAACUUCCAGGACAAGUUCCAGAAGAGGGUCCGUGUGCUCAACAUUACGACCCUGAGGAUGAACAACCUGACCCUGGAGGACACUGGGCUGUACCGGGCUCGGGGCUCAAACACCAGAGGAAUAUAG